rnacentral:rRNA from 1 species
UCUGAAAAAAUACGAUAUUUUUGUUGUUAGCGAUGAAGUUUACUCUGAGCUAACUUAUGUGGAUCACCAUGUAUCUAUUGCUGAGUAUUUGCCGGAACAAACGAUUUUGAUUAAUGGUUUGUCUAAAUCUCAUGCGAUGACAGGAUGGCGUAUCGGUUUGAUUUUUGCACCUGCAGUCUUGACGGCUCAGUUGAUUAAGAGUCACCAGUAUUUGGUAACAGCUGCAGCUACUAUGGCACAAUUUGCAGCUAUUGAAGCCUUAUCUGCUGGUAAAGAUGAUGCCCAACCAAUGAAAGUUGAGUAUUUGAAGCGUCGUGAUUAUAUUCUUGAAAAAAUGACUGAACUUGGUUUCAAAAUUAUUAAACCUGAUGGUGCUUUCUAUAUCUUUGCUAAGAUUCCAGAAGGCUAUACUCAAGAUUCCUUUAAGUUCUGUCAAGACUUUGCUCGUGAAAAAGCUAUUGCGAUUAUCCCAGGGGUUGCUUUUGGGAAGUAUGGCGAAGGCUAUGUUCGUUUGUCGUAUGCAGCUAGCAUGGAUACUAUUGAAACAGCUAUGGCUCGUUUGAAAGAGUUUAUGGAAGAGCAUGCAGAAGCUUGAGAGUAGAGGAAUUGUCCUCUUCAAUCGUAAUUAUCGUGAGAAUGAUAAGCUGGUUAAGAUUUUUACCGAGCAAGCUGGGAAACGGAUGUUUUUUGUUAGAGGUGGUGGGUCAGGUAAAUUAAGUGCUGUGAUUCAACCUUUAACCAUCGCUGAAUUCAUGAUGACUGUAAAUGAUGAGGGCUUAUCUUUCAUAGAGGAUUAUAGCCAAGCAGAAUCCUUUAAGGAAAUUACAAGCGAUAUUUUCAAGCUGUCUUAUGCGACUUAUUUAGCUGCUCUGACGGAUGCUGCUAUUGCUGACGGUGUAGCAGAUGCACAAUUAUUUGCAUUCUUGGAGAAGACGCUUGAAUUAAUGGAAGAAGGCUUGGAUUAUGAAAUCUUGACUAAUAUCUUUGAGAUUCAGGUUUUAGACCGUUUCGGUGUUCGCUUGAAUUUUCACGAGUGUGUCUUUUGCCAUCGUGUGGGCCUUCCUUUUGAUUUUUCGUAUAAGUUCUCGGGGCUACUUUGUCCAAAUCAUUAUGCAGAGGAUGAAAGGCGUAGUCGAUGCACAUACGGUUGAGAUUCCGUAGCCACCUUAAAUUUAAACUAAGGGACACAUUGAAAGGGAAUAACCCAGGCGUUGGUUGACCUGGGCGUAAGGGAACGAAAAUAAGUAGUGAAGUAUUCUUGGACAGUGGCGAGAAAAGCUUAGUGUAUAUUAUUAGGGUGCCCGUACUGCAAACCGACACAGGUAGUCAGGAAGAGAAUUCUAAGGCCAUCGGGAGAAGCGUUGUUAAGGAACUCGGCAAAUUGACCCCGUAACUUCGGAAUAAGGGGUGCUCACGCGAGUGAGCCGCAGUGAAUAGGUCCAGGCAACUGUUUAUCAAAAACACAGCUCUCUGCUAAAUCGUAAGAUGACGUAUAGGGGGUGACACCUGCCCGGUGCUGGAAGGUUAAGAGGAGGAGUGCAAGCCCCGAAUCGAAGCCCCAGUAAACGGCGGCCGUAACUAUAACGGUCCUAAGGUAGCGAAAUUCCUUGUCGGGUAAGUUCCGACCCGCACGAAAGGCGUAAUGAUUUGGGCACUGUCUCAACGAGAGACUCGGUGAAAUUUUAGUACCUGUGAAGAUGCAGGUUACCCGCGACAGGACGGAAAGACCCCAUGGAGCUUUACUGCAGUUUGAUAUUGAGUAUCUGUACCACAUGUACAGGAUAGGUAGGAGCCUAUGACCUCGGGACGCCAGUUUCGAGUGAGGCGUUGUUGGGAUACUACCCUUGUGUUAUGGCUACUCUAACCCAGAUAGGUUAUCCCUAUCGGAGACAGUGUCUGACGGGCAGUUUGACUGGGGCGGUCGCCUCCUAAAAGGUAACGGAGGCGCCCAAAGGUUCCCUCAGAAUGGUUGGAAAUCAUUCGCAGAGUGUAAAGGUAUAAGGGAGCUUGACUGCGAGAGCUACAACUCGAGCAGGGACGAAAGUCGGGCUUAGUGAUCCGGUGGUUCCGCAUGGAAGGGCCAUCGCUCAACGGAUAAAAGCUACCCUGGGGAUAACAGGCUUAUCUCCCCCAAGAGUUCACAUCGACGGGGAGGUUUGGCACCUCGAUGUCGGCUCAUCACAUCCUGGAGCGGAAGUACGUUCCAAGGGUUGGGCUGUUCGCCCAUUAAAGUGGUACGCGAGCUGGGUUCAGAACGUCGUGAGACAGUUCGGUCCUUAUCUGUCGCAGGCGGAGGAUAUUUGAAGGGAGUUGGCCCUAGUACGAGAGGACCAGGCUGAACGAACCUCUGGUGCACCAGUUGUCAUACCAAUGGCACAGCUGGGUAGCUAAGUUUGGAAGGGAUAAACGCUGAAAGCAUCUAAGUGUGAAGCCCACCCUAAGAUAAGAUAUCCCAUACCAUAAGGUAGU